rnacentral:rRNA from 1 species
CAGUUAAAAAGCUCGUAGUUGGAUUUUGGUUAAGAGGGCGCGGUCGGCCGUUUGGUCUGUACUGCGUUGUCUUGACUUCCUGAUGAGGACAUGCUCUUGGUUAACGCUGAGACAUGGAGUCAUCGUGGUUACUUUGAAAAAAUUAGAGUGUUCAAAGCGGGCUUACGCUUGAAUAUAUUAGCAUGGAAUAACACUAUAGGACUCCUGUCCUAUCUCGUUGGUCUCGGGAUGGGAGUAAUGAUUAAGAGGAACAGUUGGGGGCAUUCGUAUUUCAUUGUCAGAGGUGAAAUUCUUGGGUUUAUGAAAGACGAACUUCUGCGAAAGCAUUUGCCAAGGAUGUUUUCAUUAAUCAAGAACGAAAGUUGGGGGCUCGAAGAUGAUUAGAUACCAUCCUAGUCUCAACCAUAAACGAUGCCGACUAGGGAUUGGUGGAUGUUAAUUGAUGACUUCACCAGCACCUUAUGAGAAGUCAAAGUUUUUGGGUUCCGGGGGGAGUAUGGUCGCAAGGCUGAAACUUAAAGGAAUUGACGGAAGGGCACCACCAGGCGUGGAGCCUGCGGCUUAAUUUGACUCAACACGGGGAAACUUACCAGGUCCAGACAUAAGUAUGAUUGACAGAUUGAGAGCUCUUUCUUGAUUCUAUG